rnacentral:lncRNA from 1 species
UAUGCAUCGUAGAUCAGUCACAUGUACAUUUCAAACUUCUUUUCUCCACCACAUAAUGUUCACAUGCUUCAACCCUCUUUAGCGCUCAUUAGUUUGGCCUUUUACGGUUCUAGAACAUCUUUCCUUAAGUUGGUCAGCAUCAGUACUUUGUAUAUUUAAAAAGUAUUUGGUGAGCUUUCUUUACAUAAUGCUCAUCCAUCAAGCUUUGCUCUAUGUGGGAGCCCUACUAGCAGCAUCGCUAACGAUAGUAGGUGUCCC